rnacentral:rRNA from 1 species
UGCCAGCAGCCGCGGUAACACGUAGGGGGCAAGCGUUGUCCGGAUUUAUUGGGCGUAAAGAGCUCGUAGGCGGUUGGGUAAGUCAGAUGUGAAACCUCCAGGCUCAACCUGGAGACGCCAUCUGAUACUGCCCUGACUGGAGUUCGGUAGAGGAGUGUGGAAUUUCUGGUGUAGCGGUGAAAUGCGCAGAUAUCAGAAGGAACACCAACGGCGAAGGCAGCACUCUGGGCCGAUACUGACGCUGAGGAGCGAAAGCAUGGGGAGCAAACAGGAUUAGAUA